rnacentral:rRNA from 1 species
GGCUCAGAUUGAACGCUGGCGGCAUGCCUUACACAUGCAAGUCGAACGGUAACGGGGAGCUUGCUCCGCUGACGAGUGGCGAACGGGUGAGUAUUAUAUCGGAACGUACCAUUCAGUGGGGGAUAACGUAGCGAAAGUUACGCUAAUACCGCAUAUUCUGUGAGCAGGAAAGCAGGGGAUCGCAAGACCUUGCGCUGAUUGAGCGGCCGAUAUCAGAUUAGCUUGUUGGUGAGGUAGAAGCUCACCAAGGCGACGAUCUGUAGCGGGUCUGAGAGGAUGAUCCGCCACACUGGAACUGAGACACGGUCCAGACUCCUACGGGAGGCAGCAGUGGGGAAUUUUGGACAAUGGGGGCAACCCUGAUCCAGCCAUGCCGCGUGAGUGAAGAAGGCCUUCGGGUUGUAAAGCUCUUUCAGCCGGGAAGAAAACGCAUGGGUUAAUACCCUGUGUGGAUGACGGUACCGGAAUAAGAAGCACCGGCUAACUACGUGCCAGCAGCCGCGGUAAUACGUAGGGUGCGAGCGUUAAUCGGAAUUACUGGGCGUAAAGCGUGCGCAGGCGGUUUUGUAAGACAGGCGUGAAAUCCCCGGGCUUAACCUGGGAACUGCGUUUGUGACUGCAAGGCUAGAGUACGGCAGAGGGGGGUGGAAUUCCACGUGUAGCAGUGAAAUGCGUAGAGAUGUGGAGGAACACCAAUGGCGAAGGCAGCCCCCUGGGUCGAUACUGACGCUCAUGCACGAAAGCGUGGGUAGCAAACAGGAUUAGAUACCCUGGUAGUCCACGCCCUAAACGAUGCCAACUAGGUGUUGGGAGGGUAAAACCUUUUAGUACCGUAGCUAACGCGUGAAGUUGACCGCCUGGGGAGUACGGCCGCAAGGUUAAAACUCAAAGGAAUUGACGGGGACCCGCACAAGCGGUGGAUGAUGUGGAUUAAUUCGAUGCAACGCGAAAAACCUUACCUACCCUUGACAUGCCAAGAACUUUCCAGAGAUGGAUUGGUGCCCGAAAGGGAACUUGGACACAGGUGCUGCAUGGCUGUCGUCAGCUCGUGUCGUGAGAUGUUGGGUUAAGUCCCGCAACGAGCGCAACCCUUGUCGUUAAUUGCCAUCAUUAGUUGGGCACUUUAACGAGACUGCCGGUGACAAACCGGAGGAAGGUGGGGAUGACGUCAAGUCCUCAUGGCCCUUAUGGGUAGGGCUUCACACGUCAUACAAUGGUCGGUACAAAGGGUCGCCAAGCCGCGAGGUGGAGCCAAUCCCAGAAAGCCGAUCGUAGUCCGGAUCGCAGUCUGCAACUCGACUGCGUGAAGU